UACGUAGGUGGCAAGCGUUAUCCGGAAUUAUUGGGCGUAAAGCGCGCGCAGGCGGUUUCUUAAGUCUGAUGUGAAAGCCCACGGCUCAACCGUGGAGGGUCAUUGGAAACUGGGGAACUUGAGUGCAGAAGAGAAAAGCGGAAUUCCACGUGUAGCGGUGAAAUGCGUAGAGAUGUGGAGGAACACCAGUGGCGAAGGCGGCUUUUUGGUCUGUAACUGACGCUGAGGCGCGAAAGCGUGGGGAGCAAUCAGG
rnacentral:rRNA from 1 species